rnacentral:rRNA from 1 species
UACGUAGGGUGCGAGCGUUAAUCGGAAUUACUGGGCGUAAAGCGUGCGCAGGCGGUUCGCCAAGUCAGGUGUGAAAUCCCCGGGCCUAACCUGGGAACUGCAUUUGUGACUGCAUAGCUAGAGUCUGUCAGAGGGGGGUGGAAUUCCACGUGUAGCAGUGAAAUGCGUAGAGAUGUGGAGGAACACCGAUGGCGAAGGCAGCCCCCUGGGAUAAGACUGA